CCUACGGGAGGCAGCAGUGGGGAAUAUUGGACAAUGGGCGCAAGCCUGAUCCAGCCAUGCCGCGUGUGUGAAGAAGGCCUUCGGGUUGUAAAGCACUUUUAUCCGGAAAGAAAAGCUUUGGGUUAAUACCCUGAAGUCAUGACGGUACCGGAAGAAUAAGCACCGGCUAACUUCGUGCCAGCAGCCGCGGUAAUACGAAGGGUGCAAGCGUUACUCGGAAUUACUGGGCGUAAAGCGUGCGUAGGUGGUUUGUUAAGUCUGAUGUGAAAGCCCUAGGCUCAACCUGGGAAUUGCAUUGGAUACUGGCAGGCUAGAGUGCGGUAGAGGAUAGUGGAAUUCCCGGUGUAGCAGUGAAAUGCGUAGAGAUCGGGAGGAACAUCUGUGGCGAAGGCGACUAUCUGGGCCAGCACUGACACUGAGGCACGAAAGCGUGGGGAGCAAACAGGAUUAGAUACCCUGGUAGUCCACGCCCUAAACGAUGCGAACUGGAUGUUGGGUGCAACUAGGCACUCAGUAUCGAAGCUAACGCGUUAAGUUCGCCGCCUGGGGGAGGUACGGUCGCGAGACGUAGAACGUACGAAGUAGAAGUUAGUACGGACGUUGAGACGUUGCCGACGGACGACGACGAGGGAGGAGG
rnacentral:rRNA from 1 species